rnacentral:rRNA from 1 species
AUUGAACGCUGGCGGCAUGCCUUACACAUGCAAGUCGAACGGCAGCGCGGACUUCGGUCUGGCGGCGAGUGGCGAACGGGUGAGUAAUACAUCGGAACGUACCCUGUUGUGGGGGAUAACUAGUCGAAAGAUUAGCUAAUACCGCAUACGACCUGAGGGGGAAAGUGGGGGACCGCAAGGCCUCACGCAGCAGGAGCGGCCGAUGACUGAUGAGCUAGUUGGUGGGGUAAAGGCCCACCAAGGCGACGAUCAGUAGCUGGUCGGAGAGGACGAUCAGCCACACUGGGACCAGGACACGGCCCAGACUCCUACGGUAGGCAGAAGUGGGGAAUGUUGGACAAUGCGGGCAACCCUGAGCCAGCAAUGCCGCGUGUGUGAAGAAGGCCUUCGGGUUGUAAAGCACUUUUGUCCGGAAAGAAAUCGCGCUGGUUAAUACCUGGCGUGGAUGACGGUACCGGAAGAAUAAGCACCGGCUAACUACGUGCCAGCCGCCGCCGUAA